rnacentral:tRNA from 1 species
GCCCCUGUAGCUCAGUGGACAAGAGUGCCUGGUUUCGGCCCAGGAUGUCGGGAGUUCGACUCUCUCCAGGGGUACCA